rnacentral:rRNA from 1 species
CGCGUAGGUGGUAGUGCAAGUCUGGGGUGGAAUCCCAGGGCUUAACCCUGGAACUGCCUUGGAAACUGUAUUACUUGAGUCAGUGAGGGGAGGGUAGAAUUCCUGGUGUAGCGGUGAAAUGCGUAGAUAUCAGGAGGAAGGCCUGUGGCGAAGGCGGCCCUCUGGCGCUGAACUGACACUGAGGCGCGAAAGCGUGGGUAGCAAACAGGAUUAGAUACCCUGGUAGUCCACGCCCUAAACGGUGGGUACUAGGUGUGGGGCUCGUAAGGGUUCUGUGCCGAAGCGAAAGCGUUAAGUACCCCGCCUGGGGAGUACGGCCGCAAGGUUGAA